rnacentral:misc_RNA from 1 species
AAGUCGUAACAAGGUUUCCGUAGGUGAACCUGCGGAAGGAUCAUUACCGAGAUAGGAUUCCUCCGGGAGCCCGACCUCCAACCCUUUGUCUACACUACCUUUGUUGCCUCGGCGGGUCGUCGAGAGCCUGGAAACGGGCCUCGCCGUCGGUCGCACCGCUGCGAUCCUCGUGCGCCCGCCGGUGGACCAAAACGAAACCCCUUUUUAUAACGAGUCAUCUGAGUGAAAUUAUAAUACUUCAAAA